CUUGACAAACUAUAAGAGGUCCAGCCUGCCCAGUGACUUAGUUCAACGGCCGCGGUAUCCUAACCGUGCGAAGGUAGCGUAAUCACUUGUUCUUUAAAUGAGGACUAGUAUGAAUGGCCCCACGAGGGUUACACUGUCUCCUUUUUUUAAUCAGUGAAACUAAUCCCCCCGUGAAGAAGCGGGGAUUUAUAUAUAAGACGAGAAGACCCUAUGGAGCUUUAAAUAACAUAACACUUGUUUCAACCAUGCUAUUUCCAGAAACACUACAAAAAGCAUAACAUUAUGAUUACAAAUUUUAGACUGGGGUGAUCGCGGAGUAAAAACUAACCUCCAUGCUGAAAGGUACAAAUCCCUGAGCAAAAACCUACGACUUAAUGCACUAAAAAAUUAACACAAAUUGACCCAAUAUUUUGAUCAACGAAC
rnacentral:rRNA from 1 species